rnacentral:rRNA from 1 species
UACGUAGGGUGCGAGCGUUGUCCGGAAUUAUUGGGCGUAAAGGGCUCGUAGGCGUCUGUCACGUCGGGAGUGAAAACUCGGGGCUUAACCCCGAGCCUGCUUCCGAUACGGGCAAACUAGAGUGCUGUAGGGGAGACUGGAAUUCCUGGUGUAGUGGUGAAAUGCGCAGAUAUCAGGAGGAACACCGGUGGCGAAGGCGGGUCUCUGGGCAGUAACUGACGCUGAGGAGCGAAAGCGUGGGGAGCGAACAGG